UAUCUCAGUGGUUAAGCAUUUGGCUGCCAACCAAAAGGCUGGUGGUUCGAAUCCACU
rnacentral:tRNA from 1 species